AAACUGUAAAAAGUGAUCAAAUUGAGCAGUCAUACCGAAUUUGGGAGUCUUUAUUGUACAAACUAGGUCUCCAAAAUGUCAUCACACACAGCAGCAACAGAUAAGAAUGUUCUGGAACGGUACAUGACCCUUCCUCUUGACACAAAAGUCAUGCUGGAGUACAUCUGGAUCGAUGGAACAGGGGAGGGGGUCCGUUCUAAAUGCAGGACCCUGGACUUUGAACCCAAGAGCCCAAAAGAUUGUCCAAUUUGGAACUAUGACGGCUCCAGCACAUACCAAGCCGAGGGCUCUAACUCUGACAUGUACCUCCACCCCGUGGCCAUCUUCAGAGACCCCUUCAGAAGGGACCCAAAUAAGCUGGUGCUUUGUGAGGUCUUCAAAUACAACAAAAAACCAGCAGGUAAUUAUUCGAUUCUUAGUUAGGCCUUAUAUAGCAUGUUGAGGGGAAUUCUUGCAUAAAAUUAUGCUUUCUUUUCUCCCGUUGAAUUUUUAAAUGAAAAAUGUUCUGUUAUUUCUUUCAUCAGUCAAUUACAAGUAGAAGUAAAUAUUUUGCUUUUUUUUCCCAUUCUCAUUAGAAACCAACCAAAGGAAGACAUGCAAUGAGGUGAUGGAGCAGGCCAAGGACAAGAAGCCUUGGUUUGGGAUUGAGCAGGAGUAUACUCUGCUGGACACGGACGGCCACCCAUUUGGCUGGCCCAAAAACGGCUUCCCAGGACCCCAGGGUCCAUACUACUGUGGAGUGGGGGCCAACAAGGUGUACGGUCGUGAUAUCAUUGAGGCUCACUACAGGGCCUGCCUUUAUGCUGGAGUCAAAAUCGCUGGCUGUAACGCUGAAGUCAUGCCAGCACAGUGGGAAUUCCAAGUUGGACCCUGUGAGGGUAUAGAUAUGGGAGACCAUUUGUGGAUUGGGCGAUAUUUAUUACACAGGGUAGCAGAAGACUUUGGAGUUGUCGUGACCCUUGACCCAAAACCCAUCGAGGGAGACUGGAAUGGAGCCGGAGCCCACUGUAACUACAGCACCCUGCAGAUGAGAGAGGAUGGAGGAAUCAAAUAUAUUGAGGAUGCUAUUGAAAAACUCUCCAAACACCAUGUACGACACAUCAAAGCCUACGAUCCCAAAGAAGGAAAGGACAAUGAGCGUCGACUAACGGGAUUCCAUGAAACCUCAAGUAUCCAUGACUUCUCUGCAGGAAUUGCUAACCGCGGCGCCAGUAUUCGAAUUCCUCGCCAAGUGGCAGAGGAAAAGAAGGGCUACCUGGAGGACAGACGACCCUCCUCAAACUGUGAUCCCUACGCUGUGACUGAAGUCAUUGUCAGGACCACGUGUUUCGACUAGACGCUGCCUCAAUAGUGUUUCUAUGUUUGUACAUGUGUUGGUUUUGUUAUGUUUAUAAAAAUAGAUCUUUUUGUUCUGUUUGUAAAAAAGGGUCUUUUUGUUCUGUUCCUGGAAGAAAAGGGUUUAUUUUCCAGUACUGGUACUUGUAAUGAUAAAAGGUUGUUUGUAUGAGUUCAUUUGUCUAUUUUUUUGAUCUUUCAUCAAAGACUAGUGUGAUUGAUUCUGGAAGUUUUCAUCAAGCCUUUAUAUGUCAAAUGUAAAUAAGUAGUGUCAAAUGGUGUUUACUAGUUAGUAGAUAAUUAAAUGUAGUGUGAUAAAUUGAAUUUGACUCUAUUUUGAACUAGCUUUGAUGAUAAGGACUAUGCUUAAGAUGUAUUUUUAUCCUAACAAAAUGCUGCAAAAGUCUGGCACUAUAUUUUUAUAUCCGUUUCAUAUUUAUUGUAAAUCAUGCUGUCAUGUCCUAUGCAGAUUAUGUUUUUUUUAUUUUAAAUUUUGUAUUUUGCAUUUUUAUUGUUUUAUAUACUAGUUUGUCAUUAACAGCUAUCCAAAAGACAGUUAUACCAAUAUAGUAUACUUGGGUUUCAUGCAUUUGACAAAAUGUAUUUAUCGAGGGGAAUCUCAUUCUCUGAUGCAUGUAUAUUUGAAAGCAACUUAAUAAAUUGUUAAUAAAAUAAAAAAAUAAACAACUCUUUC
rnacentral:misc_RNA from 1 species